UACGUAGGGGGCUAGCGUUGUCCGGAAUCAUUGGGCGUAAAGCGCGUGUAGGCGGCCCGAUAAGUCCGCUGUGAAAGUCCAGGGCUCAACCCUGGGAUGCCGGUGGAUACUGUCGGGCUCGAGUCCGGAAGAGGCGAGUGGAAUUCCUGGUGUAGCGGUGAAAUGCGCAGAUAUCAGGAGGAACACCAAUGGCGAAGGCAGCUCGCUGGGACGUGACUGACGCUAAGGCGCGAAAGCCAGGGGAGCGAACGGG
rnacentral:rRNA from 1 species